rnacentral:rRNA from 1 species
CCUACGGGAGGCAGCAGUGAGGAAUAUUGGUCAAUGGGCGUAAGCCUGAACCAGCCAAGUCGCGUGAGGGAUGAAGGUUCUAUGGAUCGUAAACCUCUUUUAUAAGGGAAUAAAGUGUGGGACGUGUCCUAUUUUGUAUGUACCUUAUGAAUAAGGAUCGGCUAACUCCGUGCCAGCAGCCGCGGUAAUACGGAGGAUCCGAGCGUUAUCCUGAUUUAGUGGGUUUAAAGGGUGCGUAGGCGGCCUUUUAAGUCAGCGGUGAAAGACUGUGGCUCAACCAUAGAAUUGCCGUUGAAACUGGGGGGCUUGAGUAUGUUUGAGGCAGGCGGAAUGCGUGGUGUAGCGGUGAAAUGCUGAGAUAUCACGCAGAACCCCGAUUGCGAAGGCAGCCUGCCAAGCCAUGACUGACGCUGAGGCACGAAAGCGUGGGGAUCAAACAGGAUUAGAUACCCGGGUAGUC